rnacentral:rRNA from 1 species
CCUACGGGGGGCUGCAGUGAGGAAUAUUGGUCAAUGGACGAGAGUCUGAACCAGCCAAGUAGCGUGAAGGAUGACUGCCCUAUGGGUUGUAAACUUCUUUUAUAUGGGAAUAAAAUGUUCCACGUGUGGGUUUUUGUAUGUACCAUAUGAAUAAGGAUCGGCUAACUCCGUGCCAGCAGCCGCGGUAAUACGGAGGAUCCGAGCGUUAUCCGGAUUUAUUGGGUUUAAAGGGAGCGUAGGUGGAUUGUUAAGUCAGUUGUGAAAGUUUGCGGCUCAACCGUAAAAUUGCAGUUGAAACUGGCAGUCUUGAGUACAGGAGAGGUUGGCGGAAUGCGUGGUGUAGCGGUGAAAUGCUUAGAUAUCACGAAGAACUCCGAUUGCGAAGGCAGCUCACUGGACUGCAACUGACACUGAGGCUCGAAAGUGUGGGUAUCAAACAGGAUUAGAUACCCGAGUAGUC